UGGGGAAUAUUGCACAAUGGGGGAAACCCUGAUGCAGCGACGCCGCGUGAGUGAAGAAGUAUUCGGUAUGUAAAGCUCUAUCAGCAGGGAAGAUGAUGACGGUACCUGAGUAAGAAGCCCCGGCUAACUACGUGCC
rnacentral:rRNA from 1 species